AGCACUCUAACACAGCCUGCGAAUGACUGUACCUGAAGAAUAAGCACCGGCUAACUACGUGCCAGCAGCCGCGGUAAUACGUAGGGUGCAAGCGUUAAUCGGAAUUACUGGGCGUAAAGCGUGCGCAGGCGGUUAUACAAGACAGGUGUGAAAUCCCCGGGCUUAACCUGGGAAUGGCAUCUGUGACUGUAUAGCUAGAGUGUGUCAGAGGGGGGUAGAAUUCCACGUGUAGCAGUGAAAUGCGUAGAGAUGUGGAGGAAUACCAAUGGCGAAGGCAGCCCCCUGGGAUAACACUGACGCUCAUGCACGAAAGCGUGGGGAGCAAACAGGAUUAGAUACCCUGGUAGUCCACGCCCUAAACGAUGCUGACUAGUUGUUCGGGAAUUACUUCCUGAGUAACGUAGCUAACGCGUGAAGUCAGCCGCCUGGGGAGUACGGUCGCAAGAUUAAAACUCAAAGGAAUUGACGGGGACCCGCACAAGCGGUGGAUGAUGUGGAUUAAUUCGAUGCAACGCGAAAAACCUUACCUACACUUGACAUGCC
rnacentral:rRNA from 1 species